GAUGAACGCUGGCGGCGUGCCUAAUACAUGCAAGUCGAGCGCAGCGGGCACGCGUGAGUAACACGUGGAUAACCUCCUAUAAGACUGGGAUAACUUCCGGAAACCGGGGCUAAACCGGAUACUUAUAGAUGGAUCCGCGCUGCAUUAGCUAGUUGGUAAGGUAACGGCUUACCAAGGCAACGAUGCAUAGCCGACCUGAGAUGUUGAUCGGCCACACUGGAACUGGGGCACGGUCCGUACGCUUUCGGGAGGCAGCGGGAGGGACUCGUCCGCAACAGCCGAAAGCGUGACGGAGGAAGGCGGCGUCAGUGAGGAAGGUCUUCGGAUCUUAAAACUCUAUGAUUACGGAAGCUUGCCCGAAUCAGAAAGCAACGGCUAACCACGCGCCAGCAGCCGCGGUAAUAC
rnacentral:rRNA from 1 species